GUAGGUGGCAAGCGUUGUCCGGAAUUAUUGGGCGUAAAGCGCGCGCAGGUGGUUCUUUAAGUCUGAUGUGAAAGCCCCCGGCUCAACCGGGGAGGGUCAUUGGAAACUGGGGAACUUGAGUGCAGGAGAGGAAAGUGGAAUUCCACGUGUAGCGGUGAAAUGCGUAGAUAUGUGGAGGAACACCAGUGGCGAAGGCGACUUUCUGGCCUGUAACUGACACUGAGGCGCGAAAGCGUGGGGAGCAAACAGGGAUUAGAUACCCUGGUAGUCCACGCCGUAAACGAUGAGUGCUAAGUGUUGGGGGGGUUUCCCGCCCCGUCAGUGCUGCAGCUAACGCAUUAAGCACUCCGCCUGGGGAUACGGUCGCAAGACUG
rnacentral:rRNA from 1 species